rnacentral:rRNA from 1 species
GGAUGCGAUCAUACCAGCACUAAAGCACCGGAUCCCAUCAGAACUCCGAAGUUAAGCGUGCUUGGGCGAGAGUAGUACAAGGAUGGGUGACCUCCUGGGAAGUCCUCGUGUUCCAUUCC